UGAGGGUUCAGGGUGGAGGAAGGGGGUGGAGGAAAGCACCGGGUAGGGCAGCCUGGGAUGGGGUUGCCAUGGGAACAGCAGCUUGUCAGGAGCCCUGCCUUCAAAGCCGAGGUGGUGUGCUGCAGGUUCCUGGGGGAGGUGGUGGUAUAUGCAGGGAGCAGUUCUGAUGUGAGCCCCCUGGGACUCCAGCUCCUGGAUUCCAGAUCAAAACCCUAACCUGAGCGGGAAGUGGCAUCACACGAUACUUCCUGGCAGACGCCCCUCAGCCUCAAGCCCUCUCUUACUGAAUAGCCCACGCCUGCCCUUCGCCAUUUGCUGAAGAGAGAGACCCAGCCGGACUUGAAGUCAGUGACACUGAGUCCAGCCAGG